rnacentral:rRNA from 1 species
UGGGGAAUUUUGGACAAUGGGCGCAAGCCUGAUCCAGCAAUGCCGCGUGCAGGAAGAAGGCCUUCGGGUUGUAAACUGCUUUUGUCCGGAACGAAACGGUCUUGGUUAAUACCUGGGGCUAAUGACGGUACCGUAAGAAUAAGCACCGGCUAACUACGUGCCAGCAGCCGCGGUAAUACGUAGGGUGCAAGCGUUAAUCGGAAUUACUGGGCGUAAAGCGUGCGCAGGCGGUUUUGUAAGACAGGCGUGAAAUCCCCGGGCUCAACCUGGGAAUGGCGCUUGUGACUGCAAAGCUGGAGUGCGGCAGAGGGGGAUGGAAUUCCGCGUGUAGCAGUGAAAUGCGUAGAUAUGCGGAGGAACACCGAUGGCGAAGGCAAUCCCCUGGGCCUGCACUGACGCUCAUGCACGAAAGCGUGGGGAGCAAACAGGAUUAGAUACCCUGGUAGUCCACGCCCUAAACGAUGUCAACUGGUUGUUGGGUCUCUUCUGACUCAGUAACGAAGCUAACGCGUGAAGUGACCGCCUGG